AGUUGCACCUCUGGGUCCCAUAAAGGCUUGAAGAAGCCUCGUAAAAACCUGAGCCUACUCACCAUCUUCAGAAUGAAGGUGUACGAAGCUCCAAAGUCGAGCAGACCCAGGUCUACUGGGUGCUCCACCCCAUCAGCCAUGCACUUCACCCCCGAGUACCUGAGUCAGCCUCAUGCGGGGUCACCCCAUAUCCUGCCACGGCAUGGAAGUCCUUGCCAUCCACGGUUAGAUUCAGGUCCGUCUGGUAGGCAUUGAUGAACCUAACAGACAUCGCCAAUCAAACCUGGCUGAGCACUCCUUGGUAGCAACAUUACCCAUAAUCCACCGCGCCUGCCAUUCACAAUGACUGCUAACUGUUGCUGCCGUUCAUUUCUUGGAGCGUUACGGCUAAUGCACCGGACGCAUCUCUAAUCAAGGUACCGCUGUUGUACGUAUGGAGCACUUGGGUACGGCUGUCAUGUCAAGCUUGUGUAGUCACGACGUGCCGUUAUUUACCUCAGGUACGCCUCGCCAUUCUCAGACUUGGUGAUGUGGUCUUCCACCUGAAAUCAGCAGGAGCAAACGUCAGCUCAAAGUGAGGUCCGCUGUGCAAGACGAGGCUGUACGCCGUUUCCUCGGUGAAGACCAGCGGGCAGGAGGUAUUCACCCCAUUAUGUACGAUGUCUGCCGUCAGACUCCGGUUAACGCCAUUCAGCUCCAGUCUCUGAUAUCCCUGCGGGUCCUACCAGCACAGAAGAGAAAUCAGUGACCAGUUGGCAAUCCAAGGCUUAAAGUUGUUGUUGUUGAUGUUGAUGAUGA